AAACCGUCAUCCUGCCUGAGGAGUCCUAUGCUGCCGUCAUCACAGAGGCUAUUGCUUUCUCUAUCGCUGAAAGCAAUAACACAGACAGACACAGAGAACGACAGUGAACCUAUCAGUCUCCCCCGCCGUGAGCCAGAAAAGAUGUAAGAUCUCGCCAAGUCUGAUAAGCAACACCAAACGCUCCUCGCUCUUUCCUUCUCAUUUCACUCCACCCAGCCCGUCCCUGCAGCUCCAGCACGACAGCUGGGGCCCCGGUCCCACAUCAAUGGAAAUUUUCUGAACUGUCACUCCAGUGAGACGGCCUGAGUGAUGGCGUAACACGGGGAGCGUUGCUGCAAAGGCCACGCACAGAUGGGCGCACACACCAUCUCCCCCACUCAGCCCCAUCGUCCCCGGUCCCCACACGAUGGCUGUCGCCCCGGCUCAGGCGCUCCGAGGAAAAAUUAGUCCGGCGAUGCGUGCUUCUCUCCAUCUCAGGCCUCCACUGCAACUCGCCAGCCUCAACCCCUUCACAUUGUGUCCUCACCUGAUACAUUGUCGCAAUCCCACCUGUCAUGAUAACUCAGACUGAGGCCGAAAUGAAAAGGUGACAGGGGCAAAGGCCAAGAAAAUGGAGGGCUCCUGUACAUUAAUCUUCUGCCGUUCUGUAUCUCAGAGGCUAAUCCUACCUUGCUGAGGGCUAUCGGUUCACCCUAUGAGCUCACCUUGCUGUAUCCAUUUCUCAAAGGUUUCCAAGCAUAAGACAUAUAUGGAAGGAUCUCACUCUGAUCCGACGAUAAGCAAAGGGAGAACAAAUGGGUUUCAGAACAAACAGAUUGUGAAGAUUAGGUUAUAUAAAAAAAAAGUCAUACAGUGA